GACGAACCCUGGCGGCGUGCCUAAUACAUGCAAGUCGACCUUAGUGGCGAACUGGUGAGUAACACGUGGGUAACCUGCCCAUCAGAAGGGGAUAACCCUUGGAAACAGGUGCUAAUACCGUAUACUGAUGGAUGGACCCGCGGUGGAUUAGCUCGUGGGUGAGGUAACGGCUCACCAAGGCCACGAUGCAUAGGCGACCUGAGAGGUUGAUCGGCCACAUUGGGACUGAGACACGGCCCAAACUCCUACGGGAGGCAGCAGUGGGGAAUCUUCGGCAAUGGACGAAAGGCUGACCGAGCAAAGCCGCGUGAGUGAAGAAGGUUUUCGGAUCGUAAAACUCUGUUGUUAGAGAAGCGGUAUCUAACCAGAAAGCCACGGCUAACUACGUGCCAGCCGCCGCGGUAAUAC
rnacentral:rRNA from 1 species